UCGAUUAGAGUUUGAUUCUGGCUCAGAGCGAACGUUAGCGGCGGGCUUAACACAUGCAAGUCGAACGAGAAUGAGGGAGCAAUCCUUCUAGUACAGUGGCGGACGGGUGCGUAACACGUGGACAAUCUACCUUCCGGCGGGGGACAACAGUUCGAAAGGACUGCUAAUACCGCGUACGUCGGCGAGGGCUCCGGCCCUUGUCGAGAAAGAUGGCCAAUCCUUGGAAGCUGUCACCGGAAGAUGAGUCCGCGGCCCAUCAGGUAGUUGGUGAGGUAACGGCUCACCAAGCCUAAGACGGGUAGCUGGUCUGAGAGGAUGAUCAGCCACACUGGGACUGCGACACGGCCCAGACUCCUACGGGAGGCAGCAGUGGGGAAUAUUGGGCAAUGGGCGAAAGCCUGAUGCAGCAACGCCGCGUGAGUGAUGAAGGCCUUCGGGUCGUAAAGCUCUGUGGGGAGGGACGAACAAGCGCGUAUUAAACAAAUGCGUGCCCUGACGGUACCUCCUUAGCAAGCACCGGCUAACCAUGUGCCAGCAGCCGCGGUAAUACAUGGGGUGCAAACGUUGCUCGGAAUUAUUGGGCGUAAAGCGCGCGUAGGCGGUU
rnacentral:rRNA from 1 species